AUGGAACCAACGUACCUCCGGGGCCAGGCCGGACCACUACUCUGGAGUCCAGGAAACCAUGUGCCAUCACGCUUAGCUAAUUUUUGUAGUUUUUGUGAGAUGGAUUCUUACCAUGUUGUCCAGGCUGGUCUGGAACUCCUGGACUCCAGUGUUCGGCUUGCCUCGGCCUACCAAAGUGCUGGGAUUACAGGAGUGAGCCACUGCACCCGGCUGUCUUUCCAUUUCUUCGGCAUCCUCUUCCAUUUUUUUCAUCAGUGCUUUGUAUUCCUUAUAAAGGUAUUUUACUUCCUUGGUUAAAUUUAUACCCAGGUAUUUUAUUUCAUUUUAUAGCUGUUGUCAAUUGGAUUGCCUUGUUGAUUUCUUUAUCAACUAUUUAAUUUUUCAUAUAUAGGAGCACCACUGAUUUUUGUAUAUUAAUUUUUUAUCUUACAACUGCACUAAAUUUGUUUAUCACUGCGAAGUUUUUUGGUAGAAUCUUUAGGUUUUUCUAUAUGUAAAAUCAUGGUGUCUGCAAACAGGGACAAUCUGACUUUCUCCUUUCCUGCUUGGAUGCCCUUUAUUUCUUUUUCUUGCCUUAUUGCUCUGGCUAGGACUUCCAGUACUAUGUUGAAUAAGAGUGAUCAAAGGGAGCAACCUUGUCUUUUAUUUAUUUAUUUUUUUUGAGAUAGAGUCUCACUCUGUCACCCAGGCUGGAGUACAGUGGCCCAAUCUCAGCUCACUGCAACCUCUGCCUCCUGGGUUCAAGCAAUUCUUGUGCCUCAGCCUCUCAAGCAGCUGGGACUACAGGUGUGCCAGCACACUUGGCUAAAUUUUUGUAUUUUUAGUAGAGACAGGAUUUCACCAUGUUGGCCAGGCUGGUCUCAAACUCCUGGGCUCAAGUGAUCUGCCCGCCUCAGCCUCCCAAAGUGCUGAGACUACAGGUGUGAGCCACUAUGCCCGGCUGGCAACUUUGACUUGUUCCAAUUCUUAGAGGAAAAUCUUUUAGCUUUUCCCUAUUCAGUGAGAUGUUAGCUGAGGGUUGCCUUAUUUAUGCUGAGGUACUUUCUUUCUAUACCUAAUUUAUUAAGGGUUUUAAUCUUGAAGGGAUGUUGUGUUUUAUCAGAAGCUUGUUUUGCAUCUAUUGAGAUGAUAAUAUGCUUUUUGUCCUUAAUUCUAUUGAUGCAAUAUAUAACAUUUAUUGAUAUGGAUAUGUUGAACCAUUUUUCCUUUCCUGGAAUACAUUCCGUGUGAUCACUGCAUAUUAUCUUUUUGAUAUGUUAUUGGAUUUGGGUUGCUAGUAUUUUGUUGAAGAUGUUUGUGUCUGUGUUCAUCAGAGAUACUGGCCUGUAGUUUUCUUUGUUUAUUGUGUUGAUUCUGGAAUCAGGGUCAUGCUGGCCUCAUAGAAUGAGUUAAGAAGAAUUCUCUCUGCUUCAACAUUUUGGAGUAUAAGAAAAAUUGGUAUUAAUCAUUUAAAGGUUUGGCUGGGUGCAGUGGCUCACUCCUGUAAUCCCAGCACUUUGGGAGGCAGAGGAGGGUGGAUCACCUGAGGUCAGGAAUUCCAGACCAGGCUGGCCAACAUGGCAAAACCCCAUCUCUACUAAAAAUACAAAAAUAAGCUGGGUGUGGUGGCAUGUGCCUAUAGUCCCAGCUACUCAGGAAGCUGAGACAGGAGAAGCACUUGAAUCUGAGAGGCAGAGAUUGCAGUGAGCUGGGACCACACCAUUGCACUCAGACCUGGGCAACAGAGCAAGACUAUGUUUCAAAAAAAAAAUUCUUUAAAGGUUUGGUAGAACUCAGCAGUGAAGCCAUCUGGUCCCGGACUUUUCUUUGUUGAAGUACUUUUUAUUAGUGAUUCAAUCUCAGUACUUGUUAUUGAUUUGUUCAGGUUUUCUAUUUCUUCUCGGUAGGUUGUAUGUGUCCAGGAAUUUAUCCAUUUCCUCUAGGCUUUCUAAUUUAUUGGCACAUCAUUGUGCAUAGUUGUUGCUAAUGAGUCUUUGUAUUUCUAAGGUAUCCAUUACGAUAUCUUCAUUUUUGACUUUUGAUUUUAUGUAUUUGGAUCGUCUCUCUUUUUUUCUUAGUCUAAUAUUUUAUUGAUUUUUAUUAUCUUUUCAAAAAUCAAACUUUUUGUUUCAUUUAUCUUUUGUGUGUUUUUUUUCAGUCUCCAUUUUGUUUAUUUCUGCUCUGUUCUUUAUUAUUUCUUUCCUUCUACUAAAAUGGGGUUUGGUUAUUUCUUUCCUUCUACUAAUUUUGGGUUCUUGCUUUUCUAGUUCCUUGAGGUGCCAUUAGGUGAUUUAUUAGAAAUCUUAGAAAUCUUUCUAGUUUUUAGAUGUAGGCAUUAUUGCUAUAAACUUGCCUCUUAAUACUGCUUUUGCUGGGUCCCAUAAGGUUUUCUUUUGUUUGUUUGAUUUUUGUUUUGUUUUGUUUUGUUUUUUGAGAUGGAGUCUUGCUCUGUCACCUAGGCUAGACUGCAGUGGCAUAAUCUCGGUUCACUGCAACCUCCGCCUCCCGGGUUCAAGCAAUUCUCCUGCCUCAGUCUCCCAAGUAGCUGGAAUUACCAGCACUUGCCACCACACCUGGCUAAAUUUUGUGUGUGUGUUUUUAGUAGAGAUGGGGUUUCACUGUGUUAGCCAGGCUGGUCUCAAACUCCUAACCUCGUGAUCCGCCUGCAACAAACUCCCAAAGUGAGGGAUUACAGGUGUUAUCCACUGUGUGCAGCCAAGUUUUGAUAUGUUGCCUUCCUUCCUUCCUUCCUCUCUCUCUCUUUCUUUCUUUUCCUUCCUUCCUUCCCCUUCCUUCCCCUUCCUUCUCCUUCCUCCCUCCCUCCCUCUCUCCCUCUCUCUCUCUCUUUCUUUUUCUUUCUUUCUUUCUUUCUUUCUUUCUUUCUUUCUUUCUUUCUUUCGUUUUUGACUUGAAAAGCUUUGUUAAAGCAAAUUUGCACCAGUUUACAAAACUUUCUGAAGUAUCUUAACAUGCUAUCCACUAAAACUAUGCCUUAAAAGUUAGCUUUUCUAAAAAAACACAUGUUUAUCUUCACAAGGGCAAUUUCACGUAUUAAACUGUGUUUAGUGUUUUAAAAGAGUGGUAUUCCUCAAAAUAAACUAUGUAAAAAAGAUUAAUAGUCCUUCUCAUUUAUUUCCCCUAAGUUCCAUGCCUUUCUGAAGAGGCAGAUGUCUUAUGCUCAGAAUCCCUUCCUGAGCCACCCAUCCCCCCAAAAGAAUCCCUUUAUCAUGAACUUGUCUUCUGCUACCACACAAUAGUCAAUCUGAUUUUAUCCACGGCUGGAUUACUAUAUACAUAUCCCCAUUUUCUAUGACCUAGCACCACUCUCUUCAUUUAUGUGGUACCACCAUCAAUGAAAAGUCCAAGAAGAGAUGUGAGGAAUGGGUCUGUUGUUAUCAAAAAUCUUAUUUCUGACUGGAUUCAGACUUGGAAGCAGAAGCUCACAGCCAGGAAAGUCUGAGUCUCUUGGCAGUUUGUUCCUGGGGCUUCUCUUUAGCCUCCUUCAUGCUCUUGGACAAAAGUUUAGCGUAUUCUGCAGCCUCUUCAUAUUUUCUUAGUGCACAAUUUCUUCAGAGCAGCCUACAAGUAUACCAAAAGAGGGAAAAAAUGCUAAAAGGGUAAAAGAAAGGCCUACAGGAUUUAUACAACACCACUAAGUGAA
rnacentral:lncRNA from 1 species